GAACACCCACUGAUGUCAGCUCGUCUGCCAAAACCGGGAAAGAGAAGAGGGAGCCGGCCCUCCAGAGUCCCGAGAAGCCUCCUCAUCUCCAGAAUGAUGGUUCACCCAAUAUGAGGAGGCUGACUACCUCUCAGAGGGAAGAAUGGUUGUUGGAGAACACUUUUACUCCUGAGCAGGUCAGAAUAUUGAUUCUUUACUAAGUCUUGAAAGAAGCAGAGAAGGAUGGAGAGUUUCUUCCAGGAUCAAAUUGACUUCUCCAGGAGUGAGAAGAUCCCUAGAUCAUGUGUACAACCUCCUCCGCCUUUCCUCCCUGACCCAGGCUGGAUGAUGACAUCACAUGGUAGAAGCUGUUUUUCUAAAAAGAACCCAGGCCAGAUUUACAGGAACAACACUCAGACACUGUGACUGAAGAGAACCGUGGCCAAGUGACCACAGCACACGCCCAACAGUGCUGAGAACAUGGCUAGUCCCUCAGCACCUGGGGCUGACUCAUGUUUGCUGUCAAGACACAAUGCCAGAUGCCAGGAUUGCUUUCUUCCUCCUCUCAUUCCUCAGGGCUGUCCUGUGAAACCAUCCCCAGGAAUGUUUCUGUGGCAGCACCCUAGGAGCCCAGAUGUUGUAUAACAUAGGAUACACGCAUAUUCAUUUACCAAGCUCUGAAGAUGCCAGGCAGUAUGCUCAGUGCUUCAUACAAAUUGUUUCAUUUAAAACUCACAACUCUAUUAAAUUACAUAUCAUAGCAAGCCACUUUACAGACAUAGAAACAGGCUCAGAAAGGUUAAGUAAUUUUUCCAAGUUCAUGCAAUUCAUAUUGCCAGAUAACCAGGUCUGCUGGAUAGUGAAGCUUGAGCACUUAAGUUCUGCUCUACAAUAUCUGAAGGUAGCCAAACUGCUAGAUUAGAUUCAAAUAGAAAGGAUGAGGAAGGCUGGCCAGAAGGGCAACUGAAAGGGCUCCUCCUGGCACAGCGGGCCUUUCCCACCCAGUACUGCUCACUCCUGACUAUGUUUGCUUCACCUAUAGAGAGAAUCUUUUCACAUCCUUUCCCCCAAGACUUUUGUGCAUUAGAUAGACAAUGAGAAAAAUCCAUGACAUUAUGAAAUAAAUCAUUUUGUAGAUCAUAACAAGGAUCCAACAUGUGUUAGGCAAAUAGGACACUAAUAGCAUGUGUGUUUAAUGUGUGGUGUCUGUAAUGUGAUCUUCAGUAAUAUUAUAAAAGGCAAUAUUUUCCUCAUC